GGUGAAGUCUUAACUUGCAACCACAAAUUUCCGGUCAAUUAUUGGAUACUCCCAGAGUUACAACAACGAAAUAGACUUUUGGCGGCAUGACAUACAGUAGCAACUAAUCUUAUUUAAAAUAUAUAAUGGCCAGAACUUUGAAACCAAAAUAUUCCACAAUAUAUAUCAUGGCUAUAAUUGUAAUAACAUAUAUCAUUAUCACACUUCCACUGAUCAGUACUAAUCCAUUACUGGGUAAGAAGCCUCCAUAGCAAUCCCACACAAGCCUUCCUUGGCAGCCACAUCUCUCUUCAUCUUUAUAUACCC